AAAACAAGGAAUAUGGAAAAGACUGCUCAGAGAGGUGUAGUGAAAACUGUUUGAAUGAUGAAACCUGUGAUCGUUUCUAUGGAAAUUGUAGUCACUGUUCUGCCGGAUGGAAAGGUCCCUUGUGUAAUAUGUCUUGUGACAGCGGGGAAUAUGGAAAAGACUGUCUGGAAAUAUGUAGUGGAAACUGUUUAAAUGGUGAAACCUGUGACCGAUUUUAUGGAAACUGUAGCUUCUGUUCUGCUCGUUGGAAGGGUCCUAUGUGUAAUGCUUCUUGUGACAGCGGGGAAUAUGGAAUAGACUGUAAGGGAAUAUGUAGUGGAAAC